CGAUGCUGGACGAGGACUUUGCAAGAUUGUCUGCGUACAAUCCCAGUCCGAUUUUCAGGCCAUUGCUCUAUGUACCGCCCCGCCUGAGCACCGUCGUGGAGUGCACAGAAACGAGCAUCUAGGGGAGCACAACAACCACGUUUUGGCCACCUCUUGGAGAAAUCAGUCUCAUUGUCAAUGCAAGGCAAGAACCAUUGGUUGAUGGAAAUUUCACUGCAGCCUCACCAUCGUAAUGACUGCAAGAGGAGGGGGAACAGGACUCGUUAUCAGAACAGCCGGCCUCGGAUACGCUCGCCUCCUCUAUUAAACAAACAUGAGCGGAGCAUCAUGCGAGCUACCAAUGAUGGUGUCGACACUCCCAGAGCACUUCGUGACCGCGAGGCAGAUCGCAAACGAAGUGUGGAAUGUCAACUAAUUUUAAUUAACAAUACUUAUAUUUAAUAAAAU